CCUCCGCAAUGCGAGCAAUCGCGACGGGGGGACCCCAAGUGCCACUCUUAACGGGGUGGCUUUUCAUAAGUGUAAAAAGCUUUUGGAAUAAGAGCUGGGCAAGACCGGUGCCAGCCGCCGCGGUAACACUGGCAGCUCGAGUGGUAAUCGUGAUUAUUGGGUCUAAAGGGUCCGUAGCCGGUUUGGUCAGUCCUCCGGGAAAUCUGAUAGCUUAACUAUUAGGCUUUCGGGGGAUACUGCCAGACUUGGAACCGGGAGAGGUAAGAGGUACUACAGGGGUAGGAGUGAAAUCUUGUAAUCCCUGUGAGACCACCUGUGGCGAAGGCGUCUUACCAGAACGGGUUCGACGGUGAGGGACG
rnacentral:rRNA from 1 species